rnacentral:rRNA from 1 species
UGGGGAAUAUUGCACAAUGGGCGAAAGCCUGAUGCAGCGACGCCGCGUGAGGGAUGACGGCCUUCGGGUUGUAAACCUCUUUCAGCAGGGAAGAAGCGAAAGUGACGGUACCUGCAGAAGAAGCGCCGGCUAACUACGUGCCAGCAGCCGCGGUAAUACGUAGGGCGCAAGCGUUGUCCGGAAUUAUUGGGCGUAAAGAGCUCGUAGGCGGUUAGUCGCGUCUGCUGUGAAAACUCGAGGCUCAACCUCGGGCUUGCAGUGGGUACGGGCUGACUAGAGUGCAGUAGGGGUGACUGGAAUUCCUGGUGUAGCGGUGGAAUGCGCAGAUAUCAGGAGGAACACCGAUGGCGAAGGCAGGUCACUGGGCCGCAACUGACGCUGAGGAGCGAAAGCAUGGGGAGCGAACAGGAUUAGAUACCCUGGUAGUCCAUGCCGUAAACGUUGGGCACUAGGUGUGGGGUCCAUUCCACGGAUUCCGUGCCGCAGCAAACGCAUUAAGUGCCCCGCCUGGGGAGUACGGCCGCAAGGCUAAAACUUAAAGGAAUUGACGGGGUCAUAGCUGUUUCCU